GACGAACGCUGGCGGCGUGCUUAACACAUGCAAGUCGAACGAUGAUGCUCCAGCUUUGUUGGGGUGGAUUAGUGGCGAACGGGUGAGUAACACGUGAGUAACCUGCCCUCUUCUUUGGGAUAACGGUCGGAAACGGCUGCUAAUACUGGAUAUUCACUCAUUGGCGCAUGUUGGUGGGUGGAAAGGUUUUUCUGGUGGGGGAUGGGCUCGCGGCCUAUCAGCUUGUUGGUGGGGUGAUGGCCUACCAAGGCUUUGACGGGUAACCGGCCUGAGAGGGUGACCGGUCACAUUGGGACUGAGAUACGGCCCAGACUCCUACGGGAGGCAGCAGUGGGGAAUUUUGCACAAUGGGCGCAAGCCUGAUGCAGCGACGCCGCGUGAGGGAUGAAGGCCUUCGGGUUGUAAACCUUUUUCGCUCAUGGUCAAGCCGCAGCUUUGGGUUGUGGUGAGGGUAGUGGGUAAAGAAGCGCCGGCUAACUACGUGCCAGCAGCCGCGGUAAUACGUAGGGCGCGAGCGUUGUCCGGAAUUAUUGGGCGUAAAGGGGCUUGUAGGCGGUUGGCCGCGUCUGCCGUGAAAUCCUCUGGCUUAACUGGGGGCGUGCGGUGGGUACGGGUUGACUUGAGUGCGGUAGGGGAGACUGGAAUUCCUGGUGUAUCGGUGGAAUGCGCAGAUAUCAUAGGAACAUCGUGGGCAAAGCGGUCUCUGGUGUCGUUACUGACGCUGAGACCUAAAGCGUGAGAGCGAACAGGAAUGAGAUACCCUAGGAUGCGAAGGCGAAAUGACAGUGUAGAUCACCUGCUCGAGACCAUGAACUGUGAUACUCUUUCUUUAUCUGUUCUGCCUGUGUGGGUGUGGAUUGG
rnacentral:rRNA from 1 species